rnacentral:rRNA from 1 species
UUAAGCGACUAAGCGUACACGGUGGAUGCCUAGGCAGUCAGAGGCGAUGAAGGGCGUGCUAAUCUGCGAUAAGCGUCGGUAAGCUGAUAUGAAGCGUUAUACCCGACGAUACCCGAAUGGGGAAACCCAGUGUGUUUCGACACACUAUCAUUAUGUGAAUACAUAGCGUAAUGAGGCGAACCGGGGGAACUGAAACAUCUCAGUACCCCGAGGAAAAGAAAUCAACCGAGAUUCCCCUAGUAGCGGCGAGCGAACGGGGAGGAGCCCAGAACCUGAAUCAGUUUGUGUGUUAGUGGAAGCGUCUGGAAAGUCGCACAGUAAAGGGUGAUAGUCCCGUACACAAAAAUGCACAAAUUGUGAGUUCGAUGAGUAGGGCGGGACACGUGACAUCCUGUCUGAAUAUGGGGGGACCAUCCUCCAAGGCUAAAUACUCCUGACUGACCGAUAGUGAACCAGUACCGUGAGGGAAAGGCGAAAAGAACCCCGGCGAGGGGAGUGAAAUAGAACCUGAAACCGUGUACGUACAAGCAGUGGGAGCCUUGAUUAAUCAGGGUGACUGCGUACCUUUUGUAUAAUGGGUCAGCGACUUAUAUUCUGUAGCAAGGUUAACCGUAUAGGGGAGCCGCAGGGAAACCGAGUCUUAACUGGGCGUUAAGUUGCAGGGUAUAGACCCGAAACCCGGUGAUCUAGCCAUGGGCAGGUUGAAGGUUGGGUAACACUAACUGGAGGACCGAACCGACUAAUGUUGAAAAAUUAGCGGAUGACUUGUGGCUGGGGGUGAAAGGCCAAUCAAACCGGGAGAUAGCUGGUUCUCCCCGAAAGCUAUUUAGGUAGCGCCUCGUGAAUUCAUCUUCGGGGGUAGAGCACUGUUUCGGCUAGGGGGUCAUCCCGACUUACCAACCCGAUGCAAACUACGAAUACCGAAGAAUGUUAUCACGGGAGACACACGGCGGGUGCUAACGUUCGUCGUGAAGAGGGAAACAACCCAGACCGCCAGCUAAGGUCCCAAAGUCAUGGUUAAGUGGGAAACGAUGUGGGAAGGCACAGACAGCCAGGAUGUUGGCUUAGAAGCAGCCAUCAUUUAAAGAAAGCGUAAUAGCUCACUGGUCGAGUCGGCCUGCGCGGAAGAUGUAACGGGGCUAAACCAUGCACCGAAGCUGCGGCAGCGACACUUAGGUGUUGUUGGGUAGGGGAGCGUUCUGUAAGCCGUCGAAGGUGGCCUGUGAGGGCUGCUGGAGGUAUCAGAAGUGCGAAUGCUGACAUAAGUAACGAUAAUGCGGGUGAAAAACCCGCACGCCGGAAGACCAAGGGUUCCUGUCCAACGUUAAUCGGGGCAGGGUGAGUCGACCCCUAAGGCGAGGCUGAAAAGCGUAGUCGAUGGGAAACAGGUUAAUAUUCCUGUACUCGGUGUUACUGCGAAGGGGGGACGGAGAAAGCUAGGUUAUCCGGGCGACGGUUGUCCCGGUUUAAGCGUGAAGGUGGAUGACUUUGGUAAAUCCGGGUCGUCAUUAACACUGAGGCGUGAUGACGAGUCACUACGGUGAUGAAGUAACCGAUGCUACGCUUCCAGGAAAAGCCUCUAAGCUCCAGGUAACAUCAAAUCGUACCCCAAACCGACACAGGUGGUCAGGUAGAGAAUACUCAGGCGCUUGAGAGAACUCGGGUGAAGGAACUAGGCAAAAUGGUGCCGUAACUUCGGGAGAAGGCACGCUGAUGGUAGGUGAAGUGACUUGCUCACGGAGCUGAAAUCAGUCGAAGAUACCAGCUGGCUGCAACUGUUUAAUAAAAACACAGCACUGUGCAAACACGAAAGUGGACGUAUACGGUGUGACGCCUGCCCGGUGCCGGAAGGUUAAUUGAUGGGGUCAGCCGCAAGGCGAAGCUCUUGAUCGAAGCCCCGGUAAACGGCGGCCGUAACUAUAACGGUCCUAAGGUAGCGAAAUUCCUUGUCGGGUAAGUUCCGACCUGCACGAAUGGCGUAAUGAUGGCCAGGCUGUCUCCACCCGAGACUCAGUGAAAUUGAACUCGCUGUGAAGAUGCAGUGUACCCGCGGCAAGACGGAAAGACCCCGUGAACCUUUACUAUAGCUUGACACUGAACCUUGAGCCUUGAUGUGUAGGAUAGGUGGGAGGCUUUGAAGCGAGGACGCCAGUUCUUGUGGAGCCAACCUUGAAAUACCACCCUUUAAUGUUUGAUGUUCUAACGUGGGCCCGUAAUCCGGGUUGCGGACAGUGUCUGGUGGGUAGUUUGACUGGGGCGGUCUCCUCCCAAAGCGUAACGGAGGAGCACGAAGGUUAGCUAAUCCUGGUCGGACAUCAGGAGGUUAGUGCAAAGGCAUAAGCUAGCUUGACUGCGAGAGUGACAGCUCGAGCAGGUGCGAAAGCAGGUCUUAGUGAUCCGGUGGUUCUGAAUGGAAGGGCCAUCGCUCAACGGAUAAAAGGUACUCCGGGGAUAACAGGCUGAUACCGCCCAAGAGUUCAUAUCGACGGCGGUGUUUGGCACCUCGAUGUCGGCUCAUCACAUCCUGGGGCUGAAGUAGGUCCCAAGGGUAUGGCUGUUCGCCAUUUAAAGUGGUACGCGAGCUGGGUUUAGAACGUCGUGAGACAGUUCGGUCCCUAUCUGCCGUGGGCGUUGGAAGAUUGAGAGGGGUUGCUCCUAGUACGAGAGGACCGGAGUGAACGCACCACUGGUGUUCGGGUUGUGAUGCCAAUUGCAUUGCCCGGUAGCUAAGUGCGGAAGAGAUAACCGCUGAAAGCAUCUAAGCGGGAAACUUGCCUCGAGAUGAGUCUUCCCUGGGCACUAGAUGCCCCUGAAGGGCCGUUGAAGACGACGACGUAGAUAGGCUGGGUGUGUAAGCGUAGCGAUACGUUGAGCUAACCAGUACUAAUGACCCGAGAGGCUUAACCU